rnacentral:pre_miRNA from 1 species
GGCAUGGAAUCCUGUGGCAUCGAAACUACCCUUAACUCCAUCAUGAAGUGUGAUGUGGACAUUGACAAGGGCCUCCAUGCC